GACGUAGGGCGCGAGCGUUGUCCGGAUUUAUUGGGCGUAAAGAGCUCGUAGGCGGCUUGUCGCGUCGACUGUGAAAUCCCGCGGCUCAACUGCGGGUCUGCAGUCGAUACGGGCAGGCUAGAGUUCGGUAGGGGAGACUGGAAUUCCCGGUGUAGCGGUGAAAUGCGCAGAUAUCAGGAGGAACACCGGUGGCGAAGGCGGGUCUCUGGGCCGAUACUGACGCUGAGGAGCGAAAGCGUGGGGAGCGAACAGG
rnacentral:rRNA from 1 species